UACGAAGGGGGCUAGCGUUGUUCGGAAUCACUGGGCGUAAAGCGCACGCAGGCGGAUCGUUAAGUCAGGGGUGAAAUGCCGAGGCUCAACCUCGGAACUGCCUUUGAUACUGGCGAUCUUAGAGUCCGGGAGAGGUGAGUGGAACUCCGAGUGUAGAGGUGAAAUUCGUAGAUAUUCGCAAGAACGCCAGUGGCGAAGGCGGCUCACUGGCCCGGUACUGACGCUGAGGUGCGAAAGCGUGGGGAGCAAACAGG
rnacentral:rRNA from 1 species